CAGCAGCCGCGGUAAAACGGAGGGUGCUAGCGUUGUUCGGAAUCACUGGGCGUAAAGGGCGCGUAGGCGGCCUGUUAAGUCGGAUGUGAAAGCCCGGGGCUCAACCCCGGAACUGCAUCCGAGACUGGCAGGCUUGAGACCGGGAGAGGAGGGUGGAAUAUCCAGUGUAGAGGUGAAAUUCGUAGAUAUUGGAUGGAACACCGGUGGCGAAAGCGGCUCUCUGGCCCGGAUCUGACGCUGAGGCGCGAAAGCGUGGGGAGCAAACAGGAUUAGAUACCCGAGUAGUCCCUGUCUCUUAUAC
rnacentral:rRNA from 1 species